rnacentral:ncRNA from 1 species
CUUAAUUUGACUCAGCACAAGAAACUUUGCUCAAUCCAGAUGCAGAAGGGAUUAACAGAUGGAUAGCUUUUUCUAGUUUCUGUGGUGCGUGGCUAUUCUUAGUCUGUGGAGUGAUUUAUCAGCUUAGUUCCGGUAAUGGUAGUGAAUAAUGACAGAUGCCUAGGAAAAAGUAUGGAAGACAACAUGUAAAGAUACCUCCUCACGAUGUAUUCUCGUCCUGCAAAAAGUCACUGUAGCUGAGUGACUUUUUGAGCUGGAGAAGUUACCUUCGUGUUUGCUG